GGUUAAGCGACUAAGCGUACACGGUGGAUGCCCUGGCAGUCAGAGGCGAUGAAGGACGUGCUAAUCUGCGAUAAGCGUCGGUGAGGUGAUAUGAACCGUUAUAACCGGCGAUUUCCGAAUGGGGAAACCCAGUGUGUUUCGACACACUAUCAUUAACUGAAUCCAUAGGUUAAUGAGGCGAACCGGGGGAACUGAAACAUCUAAGUACCCCGAGGAAAAGAAAUCAACCGAGAUUCCCCCAGUAGCGGCGAGCGAACGGGGAGGAGCCCAGAGCCUGAAUCAGUGUGUGUGUUAGUGGAAGCGUCUGGAAAGGCGUGCGAUACAGGGUGACAGCCCCGUACACAAAAAUGCACAUAUUGUGAGCUCGAUGAGUAGGGCGGGACACGUGGUAUCCUGUCUGAAUAUGGGGGGACCAUCCUCCAAGGCUAAAUACUCCUGACUGACCGAUAGUGAACCAGUACCGUGAGGGAAAGGCGAAAAGAACCCCGGCGAGGGGAGUGAAAAAGAACCUGAAACCGUGUACGUACAAGCAGUGGGAGCCUCUUAAUGGGGUGACUGCGUACCUUUUGUAUAAUGGGUCAGCGACUUAUAUUCUGUAGCAAGGUUAACCGAAUAGGGGAGCCGAAGGGAAACCGAGUCUUAACUGGGCGUUAAGUUGCAGGGUAUAGACCCGAAACCCGGUGAUCUAGCCAUGGGCAGGUUGAAGGUUGGGUAACACUAACUGGAGGACCGAACCGACUAAUGUUGAAAAAUUAGCGGAUGACUUGUGGCUGG
rnacentral:rRNA from 1 species